rnacentral:tRNA from 1 species
GGGGAUGUAGCUCAAUGUUAGAACACCAACUGAGCAUGUUUGAGGUCCUGAGUUCAAUCCCCAGUAUCUUCA